rnacentral:rRNA from 1 species
GACGAACGCUGGCGGCGUGCCUAAUACAUGCAAGUCGAACGCAGUGGGGACGGGUGAGUAACACGUGGGUAACCUCCCAUCAGAGGGGAUAACACUUGGAAACAGGUGCUAAACCGAUACUGAUGGAUGGACCCGCGGUGCAUUAGCUAGUUGGUGAGGUAACGGCUCACCAAGGCCACGAUGCAUAGCGGACCUGAGAGGUGGAUCAGCCAAAUGGGGACGGAGAACGUGCGCAGACUCCUACGGGAGGCAGCAGGAGGGAAGCAUCGGCAAUGGAAGAAAGUCUGACCGAGUAACGCCGCGUGAGUGAAGAAGGGUUUCGGAUCGUAAAACUCUGUUGUUAGAGAAGCGGUAUCUAACCAGAAAGCCACGGCUAACGACGUGACAGCAGCCGCGGUAAUUC